UACGUAGGGGGCUAGCGUUGUCCGGAAUCAUUGGGCGUAAAGAGCGUGUAGGCGGUUCGGUAAGUCUGCCGUGAAAACCCAGGGCUCAACCCUGGGCGUGCGGUGGAUACUGCCGGGCUAGAGGGUGGUAGAGGCGAGUGGAAUUCCCGGUGUAGCGGUGAAAUGCGCGGAUAUCGGGAGGAACACCAGUAGCGAAGGCAGCUCGCUGGGACGGUACUGACGCUGAGGCGCGAAAGCGUGGGGAGCAAACAGG
rnacentral:rRNA from 1 species